UCGCCGAUUUCAAAAACGUUGGAACCAAUCAUGGCUUGGAUCAUCACGUGAUUGGGUCUCGUCGACCAAUCAGUACCACCAAUCUUGUGUCACUAAUUUUAUCUUAUGUUUCUUCAUUAUGAUUGCUCUUUUUUUUUAUUCUGACACGUUGGUCGGGAAAACGGGGAUGAUGCGCAUUUGAAUCAGGGGCAUUGAGGAGAUGGCAGCGUUCAGCGGUCGAUGCAGGUUAGGAUAGCUACGUUAGAAGUCAGAAUUUUUGAAACUAUUUGUAUAUAAUGUGUCUAUUUAUGCAUGAGCAGAAUGCAGUGCUAGGUUUCAUUUUUCUUUAGUUAAAUUCGUUCUAUGUUGUAAAUUUGUUUGUUUUAUUGUAUUUAUGCAAAUGUUUAUUAGAGUUAUACGUAUGAUCUACUGUCAGACUGUAGUACUAUUUGCGACGACAGGAAUGGAAGCGUAACUUUGACUUGCCAAAAUAAUCGUAUUCUAAUUAGGUAUAGCACCUGCUGUAAUUCUACGCUUCAUUUUGACAGGGGCGAAUCGCCCUAUACAUUAGACGAUAUUGGGGUAUCAUUUUGUAGAGUGUAUUCUAUUUUGUGUAUGCAUUUGAUAUUUCAGUAUCGUUUGUUUUUGAAAUUCGGAAGGAGUGCACAAUCAUUGUGGGAUUCAUUUGCAUGCUCGUUUAAAGUGAUCAAUCAGCUUCUGAAUUGGCGAAGACAGAUCGUAGCUGGAGUCGGGAGUUGACUAUAUGUAAAAGAUGAUCAGGUUCAUCGCCUCACGCCUCAGUUUGCAGGAAUCAGAUACAGGUGAGUUAAAAUUCGUCAAGAACAGAAUAAUAAUGCAAUAUGGUGGUAGGUACGUUCCUUACGUUCGUGAUAGCUCCUGGACCGCUUGAGGUAACUAUUUAUUUAAAAUGUUAUGGGCGUCUUAAAAAUUCUCUUGUCCGAAGUCUUCCCGCUCGUCUCACAAAGUAGUGAUACAUGAGAUUUUGGGGAAGCGUUACUAUUAUUAAAUAUACAUCCAGAUAAUUACACAAGGCUUCUGCUAUAGCAAAAAAUUGUUAACUGUAGCUGGUGGUCGUUAUUAAUGUGGAAGUCUUGUUUUUUGUAUAUUUGUGCGACACUUUCGCGAAAUAAAAGUAUAUUUUUAACACGAGUCGAUAUAUUUAUGGCAGGUGAAUUGAACAAGAAAUGACAGACUGAUGGAGUCAUCCAUAUGUAACACUUACUGUCGAUCCAAGUUGUUGGCAGUACUGAAUACAAACGCCGGGGUAUAGUCUACAAGGUGACUACUUAUAACAAAAGUUCACAAGCCAUUUUCAGGACGCCCCAAAGACAAUUCCAAGUGUCCAGUGCGACCUCAGAUUUUCAGUCGGGGAAACUCGUACGAUUUUGCAGCAUUGAAGAAAACUAUUUCACGGUUCUCCAACCGUGCCCAAGAAAGCACGUGAAGAGGAUUUGCACUGAUGACUGUUCCUGCAUUCUAGUUUGUACCCUUUUUGUAAAUAAUUCACGUGUCUCAUGAUAUCUUUCUUCAGUUAGUUUUGUCAUGUCUUAUAAACAUCGUAAUGAAUAAUAUUAAUUGUUUCGAACGUAAUGAAAGAAACUUUGUUAUUACGCAUUAUUACACAUUUUCUUCAAAUCGAUCACCUUGUGUCUAUGAAAUCUAGUCACGGUACUCCAUUUGCAUAGACUAUUUAUUGUUCCCUGCAUUCAUAUCCAAAUGCCUGGCUUUUUUUCCUUAUUUGUGUAAUGAUAUAAACAUGAAUACUAUAAUCUUGAUAUGCUGGGUAAACUUCUUAACGAAUAAUAUAAGUUAUUUCGAACUUGAUU